rnacentral:rRNA from 1 species
UAGUCCUCGCUGUAAACGAUGUCGACUUGGAGGUUGUGCCCUUGAGGCGUGGCUUCCGGAGCUAACGCGUUAAGUCGACCGCCUGGGGAGUACGGCCGCAAGGUUAAAACUCAAAUGAAUUGACGGGGGCCCGCACAAGCGGUGGAGCAUGUGGUUUAAUUCGAUGCAACGCGAAGAACCUUACCUGGCCUUGACAUCCACGGAAUUUAGCAGAGAUGCUUUAGUGCCUUCGGGAACCGUGAGACAGGUGCUGCAUGGCUGUCGUCAGCUCGUGUUGUGAAAUGUUGGGUUAAGUCCCGCAACGAGCGCAACCCUUAUCCUUUGUUGCCAGCGAUUCGGUCGGGAACUCAAAGGAGACUGCCGGUGAUAAACCGGAGGAAGGUGGGGAUGACGUCAAGUCAUCAUGGCCCUUACGGCCAGGGCUACACACGUGCUACAAUGGCGCAUACAAAGAGAAGCGACCUCGCGAGAGCAAGCGGACCUCAUAAAGUGCGUCGUAGUCCGGAUCGGAGUCUGCAACUCGACUCCGUGAAGUCGGAAUCGCUAGUAAUCGUAGAUCAGAAUGCUACGGUGAAUACGUUCCCGGGCCUUGUACACACCGCCCGUCACACCAUGGGAGUGGGUUGCAAAAGAAGUAGGUAGCUUAACCUU